AUUGAACGCUGGCGGCAUGCUUUACACAUGCAAGUCGGACGGCAGCACAGAGAAGCUUGCUUCUUGGGUGGCGAGUGGCGAACGGGUGAGUAAUAUAUCGGAACGUACCGAGUAAUGGGGGAUAACUAAUCGAAAGAUUAGCUAAUACCGCAUAUUCUCUGAGGAGGAAAGCAGGGGACCUUGGGCCUUGCGUUAUUCGAGCGGCCGAUAACUGAUUAGCUAGUUGGUGGGGUAAAGGCCUACCAAGGCGACGAUCAGUAGCGGGUCUGAGAGGAUGAUCCGCCACACUGGGACUGUGACACGGCCCAGACUCCUACGGGAGGCAGCAGUGGGGAAUUUUGGACAAUGGGCGCAAGCCUGAUCCAGCCAUGCCGCGUGUCUGAAGAAGGCCUUCGGGUUGUAAAGGACUUUUGUCAGGGAAGAAAAGACUGUUGCUAAUAUCGACAGCUGAUGACGGUACCUGAAGAAUAAGCACCGG
rnacentral:rRNA from 1 species